CGACUGCACGAGCUCUCCUCUCUCCCACGCCUCCUGAUCCCAGCCGCCAGGAGGCACGCGGCCCGUGCGGCGCUCGAUCCGGUGACGCGCCGGCCGCCGCCGACGCCGGCAAUCACAGCACCCUGCACCACCGUUCCACCUUAGCUCCUCAUCUUCCCCGCGUGCCCGAGCUCCUCCUCUCUCCCGUGUGCCCGAGCUCCUUGCUGUGUGCCGCUCGGGAGGGCUUGCGUUCGCCGCUCGACCAAAGCCACCGCGAGCUGGUCGUCGUUGCACUUGCUGGCGACCUGGCCGUCCCCUCUGCACCACUUUCACCUCAAAUUUGGACGCUCAUGUGCUUGUGGAUGUUCUCAGUUAUUUUUUGCACACAAGGUGUUUGUGUGUUUGUCUGAACCAGUUUCAGUCACAGAUCCUUGAGCCGACCUAAUUGAGCUAUCGGAGGUGUUGCGGUCUUUUAGCAAACAUGCCCUAUAUUCUAUGGUUUGGCAUCUAUAGGAUGCCAUCUCUGGUCAUGGAUCCACUAUGGCUGCUUCGUCCUUCACUUAGGACCUUCUCACCCCCACAGAGAUCAGAGAGAAAAAUAUAUCUUGGAAGCAGGAACCCUUACCUCAUAAGAUGGGUUAUGACUAUGCCGUAGGUGACGUGCGGAAAGGCGACCAAAGAGUACAUGAAGAAUUCUUGCUAUCAACUAGGGCUGGAUGCCCCCAGGAAGAAUGCCUCAAAGCAGGAAAGGAGAUCAGAGUUCAGGGCAUGUUCAGCUCCACCCAUGCAUCAAGGGAAAUAUAUACGACGCAAAUGAUAACGUGUUCUGCUAGAUGACAUAGUACAAGGUUCAGCAGCGACGACAUGAUCUCAAACAUGCCACUGGCAUGGCACCUAUACUAAACUUGAUUUGUUCUCUCAAUAUGGAGUGUUAAUCUUCUCCUCUGCAUAGUACAAAUAUUCCCUUAGCUCAAAGGAUAUAGACAUGGUGAGUUUGGUUGGAGGAAAUAAGAAUGAUUUAUAAAAGUAAUAAAAGGGAGAUAAUGCUG